AGAACUUUGAAGAGAGAGUUCAAGAGUACGUGAAACUGAAGUGGUGUAAACGGACGAGUUCGAAAAGUCCGAAUGGUGAGAUUCAAGCUUACCGUGCCGGUGGCCCUCGGGUUCAGAUGGCGUCGUCAGCUCGGGCUUCGGUUCGGGUCAUACGGCGUCACUCGUCCUGGGGGUAUCUGUCUGGUGCGGUGGGCUGCACUUCUCGCCUAGUAGGACGUCGCGACCCGUUGGGAUGUUCCGUUCACUGGCCCCUGGUGGAGCCCGCGCCGGAGCGUGGCCUUGUGCCGCGUUGCUGUUUGCACGGACCCGGGGUGACCUGAUCGGCGCCCGACGGUAUCAAAGCUUGGGAAGAGGCCGCACAGAGGAUGCGUUCGAUGGCCGUUUCGGCCUACACUCGGACAGGCCUGCACCCGGUCAGCGGCGCUUCUGCUUUCGAUACUCGUCCGACCCGUCUUG
rnacentral:rRNA from 1 species